UGAGCAAAUCAGACAACUGCGGGCAGAAGCCGUAAGGCUCUGAAUGAGGAAAGUCCGGGCAUCACAGAGCAGGGUGCCGGGUAACUCCCGGUGGAGGUAACUCUAAGGAAAGUGCAACAGAAAAAAACCGCCGAAAUUAAAUUCGGUAAGGAUGAAAAGGCGAGGUAAGAGCUCACCGCAGUCCGGGAGAUCGGACUGGCGUGUA
rnacentral:RNase_P_RNA from 1 species